UGGGGGAUAUUGCACAAUGGGCGAAAGCCUGAUGCAGCGACGCCGCGUGGGGGAUGAAGGCUUUCGGGUUGUAAACCUCUUUCGCUAUCGAACAAGGCCCGCUUAGGGUGGGUUGAGGGUAGGUGGAGAAGAAGCGCCGGCUAACUACGUGCCAGCAGCCGCGGUAAUACGUAGGGCGCGAGCGUUGUCCGGAAUUAUUGGGCGUAAAGGGCUUGUAGGCGGCUUGUUGCGCCUGCUGUGAAAACGCGGGGCUUAACUUCGCGCGUGCAGUGGGUACGGGCAGGCUUGAGUGUGGUAGGGGUGACUGGAAUUCCAGGUGUAGCGGUGGAAUGCGCAGAUAUCUGGAGGAACACCGAUGGCGAAGGCAGGUCACUGGGCCAUUACUGACGCUGAGGCGCGAAAGCAUGGGUAGCGAACAGG
rnacentral:rRNA from 1 species